rnacentral:rRNA from 1 species
UAAUACAGAGGGUGCAAACGUUGCUCGGAAUCACUGGGCAUAAAGCGCAUGUAGGCGGUCUCCUAAGUCUGGUGUGAAAUCCCUCGGCUCAACCGGGGAACUGCAUUGGAUACUGGGAGGCUCGAGAGUUGUAGGGGUGGACGGAACUCCAGGUGGAGCGGUGAAAUGCGUAGAUAUCUGGAGGAACACCGGAGGCGAAAGCGGUCCACUGGGCAACUUCUGACGCUGAGAUGCGAAAGCUAGGGUAGCAAACGGG